GGCGGUAUCGUCUAGCGGCUAGGACACAUGGUUCUCAACCAUGGAACCGGGGUUCGAUUCCCCGUACCGCUACCA
rnacentral:tRNA from 1 species